rnacentral:lncRNA from 1 species
GUUUUUUUUAACUUUUUUUUUUUCUUUUUGAGCUGUGUUCUCUCUCUGGAAGCUAGAUUUCUUCUGCCUCUGUUUACCCGUCCUGUCCUAACAUAAUUUGAGGAUACUUUUGAAUCUUGCAUUCACUCUCUCAGAUCUUAGGCUAUGACUUCAUGAACAUGGCCUCUCUAGACUAAGAGCAGCAUCAAUCAUAAUAGUAGGGAUAAUAGGAUAGUAAGCUUCCCGUUCUCUUAAAAAACCCCUUUAAAUUGAAAUCUCAUUUUGAUUGUUAGUUCUCAAUAAAUGGAUCCCAUUGGAACUCAUAUAUUUUUCUAACCUAUAGAAUAUCAGUGUUUAUGACUGAGGAUCCAUAAUUAAGUACUGUUAGUUCACCUUCUCUUUGUUACACACCAUUAGACAGGAGUGCCCCUUGAAUAUAUUUAUCACUGUGGUUAUGUGUUCUAUUUGCGUGUCUUAGAAAAAUGUUUUGCCUACUACUAUUCUCUAAGAGUGUUUUGUUGUUGUUGUUUGUGGGUGUUGUUUUAUAAUUACUAUUUCAUGGAGGAUGAAGGCCCGGGAGGUGAAAGGGCUUGCCUAACAGAGCCGUGAUAUAACAGAGCCAGGUGAAACUUGAGCCCCUGUCUCUGCCUCACGAGGCAUCCCCAUUCCUCAAGCAAAGCUCGUAGAAUAUUCAGCUUCCUACCUUCAUGUAAAAUCCUUUUAGACUGGACUCCAAGCCACAGGUCAGCACAGGCUAAUAUGACUAUCUUCCAGAGCUAACUGAUAUCGAUAUGAGUUCCAGUCUCUACAACCCCCUAAGGUAAGUGGGAAUCCCAUUUUAUAGAUGAGAAAACAGGCUCAUAAAGUUGUGCCUUGCACAAGUUUUAAAAUUAUUAAUUUGUUAGCCAGGCAUGGUGCCACACAUGGGAGGCAGAGGCAGGCAGAUCUCUUGAGUUCAAAGCCAGCCUGGUCUACAGAGAAAGAGAGAGUCCCAGGAUAGACAGGACUACACAGAGAAACCCUGUCCUGAAACCCUCAUCCCCAAGUAAAAGAAAGUUAUUAAGCUGUAGAGGUAAGGUUUAUUUCACCAGCUUAGGCUCCUCCCAGCAGAAGUUGGAACUGAUAUGUUGGCAGCUCCAAGUUUCAGUGCAACUGUAGGCUAUCCGUGCUAUUCACAAAUGUGGGAAUAUCCGUAGAACAUCUGUAAUAAUCGCCAGUGAAAAUGACAAUAUUACAGAAAAUCAGUUAGAAGAAAUAAACAGCGUGGCAAGGGAAGAUGGCUGAGCAGGAAAGGUGCUUGCUAUACAAGCUUGGAAACCUGAGUUGGGCCACUGGAAUCCAUGUAGGCACAGGCAAGAACUUACUCUACAGACCUGUCCUCUGAUCGCCACACAAUGCUGUGCUGUGUGUGCCCCAUCUUCCAUACACAACAAGCCAGAGUCAUGAAUUUUCUCCCUGCCUGUCAGGCCUUCCCCAGACUUCCCUCCAGGGACAGGGGAUGUGUAUCGUGAGUCUACUCUGAUCACUUGAGCUUCCUUUUGCCGAUUCCUCCAGGUCACCACCUGGUAUUGAGUAACAGCUUGCUGUGUGCAUGAGCCUUAGGGAUGGUUCCACAGUUGCCCUGCCUUUGUUCAUGAGAGCCUUUCCCUGGCCUUAAGGCUGAGUCAUUAGGGGUGUGAGUAGUUUUGUUCUUAACAACAUCCUCUGGUCUGGGAUGCUCCCCAAACAUUUCUUCCUUUGAUUGCAAACACUGGGGGGUUCUUUUUUCUCUUUGGAGGGCAGAGGGCAGAGUUGAAUAGGCCAGCAUCCUCUCCUGGCAACAGUCCUAGAAUUAAUUCCUGGACCUGAAAAAUCCAAACACCCAAACUUCCUGCAGUAAUGAAAACCCACAGCAGAGGGCAGUCUCCUACAUAUGGCGAGGUGUCCUUGGCCCUGAGCUUAUUUAAUUGAAAAACCUACAGAAAAGUAAUUAGCCUGGCUUCAUAAGAGAGGCAAAUCCCUUGCUGCCCCCCUCAGCCCACCUUUUGUUUAAAGAAGGCCAUUUGUUCUUGAAGUGAAGAGUCCCCCGCGCCCUCCUUCCCUUCUUGUCCCCUGCUACAACUGUUAGGUCUAGUUUCUCUAGCUCAAAGAUAGAAAGGGGUUAAUUUUAGAGAAGCAACCCCUAUUUGCUUUGUUCCAUAUGCAGAAUAGGAAGGACACUGUCGCAUGGUCUGUCAGAUUUUCUCGGUCCCCUCUUGAGGAGGCAAGCCUGGAAGGAGGGUAUGAAUCCCAAACGUGUGUUUCACUCUCUCCUGCCAGGCAUUCUCCCAAGGCCGUUUCAUGCACUCUUUAAAUAAGCCCAGAUCCCCCAUUAAGUGGAUUUGCUUACUAUUGCCAGUUCACACAUGGGGAGAUGGAAACCCUGAAACUGACAGGUUUGCUAUGUGGUUCUCUGGGCUUUAAGUUGGUCAUGUGUUUUAAAACAGGGAGUAUCAGGUAAAUUGCUCUUGAAACCCCUAUUUCCUCUCCAUUGGAGACAGAAGCUUGGAGGACAGAUUUCCUAGGAAAAUGGGUAUGUCUGGGGGGUGGAGGUGCUGUUGUUGACAAAGAGCUUUGUUACUCUUUUCUAGUGUCCCGCCCCCCACCCCCAGCUGAGCCUAUGCCUCCUCAGAAGGUUGAAGCUGGGUCAGCUUAUCCAUCAGGACUGUGCUGAGCCUGAUCCAAUUUUAGCAGUAACCUGCUUCUGCUCCCUAGGAAUGUUGCAAUAGGAGCUACGGUCCUGGUUCUGCAAGCCUGGCCAGCUCCCAUGCGCUUCUGCUCAUUCCCAGAAUACAAAACACAAACUCAGGAGUGGUCCACCUUGGUUUUUUUGGAGUGUGUCUCUUGGGAACCUGGGGCUUACCAAUAAGGCCAGGCUGCCUGGCAGUGAGCCCCAAGGAUCUGCCUGUCUUUGUCUCUGGAGUCACAAGUACAUGUUACAUGCUCAGCUUUUGUAUUUUAUUUCAUGGGCUUGGGGGAUCAAACUCUUGUCUUCACGCUUACACAGCAGCCUUUGUUAGCAUUCUGUCUAAACUCCACCCCACAGUUACCUGGCAACCGCCAGGUAUGCCAACCUUGGUGGGCAUUUUUACCAAACGGGAGUCUUAUUCUCUGAGGCAUCAGUCAGCCAACAGAUUUGUUCUGAGCAUUUCUAGCCAGUGUUGGAUCACAGGUCUCUAAACCCAGUACCAGGUCCCAGGAGCUACUUGAUAGAAGUUGGACAGAUGCUGGAGUGAAAAGCCACAGUCUAAAUGCCUCUGAAGUAAAUACAGGCACAGCUUGGUCCCUCUCCUGGUUAGCCUCUGAAGUCACCUGAGAGGAAAGCUGCAGUGGAGGGACUGCCUAGAUCAGGCUGACCCAUAGACUGUCUGUAAAGAUUGUCUUGAUUGACUGGCGUAGGAAGGGCCAGACCACUGUGGGCGGAACCAUCCCUAGACAGGUGGUUCAGGCUGUACAGGAAAGAGAGCUAAGUACAAAGGAGCCAAUCAGCAAGGAGUGUCUGUCCCUCUGUGGUGUCUGUCUCAAGCUGCUGCUUGAGUUUCUGUGCUGGCUUCUCUUAAUGAUGGGCUGGGACCUGUAAGCGUGAGUCAGAUGCAUCUUUCCUUGCCCUAAGUUGCUUUUCAUCAGAAUGUUUUUUUGUCACAGCAAC